rnacentral:rRNA from 1 species
UACGUAGGGGGCAAGCGUUGUCCGGAUUUAUUGGGCGUAAAGAGCGUGUAGGCGGCCAAGCAGGUCAGCUGUGAAAACUCGAGGCUCAACCUCGAGACGUCGGUUGAAACCGCUUGGCUAGAGUCCGGAAGAGGAGAGUGGAAUUCCCGGUGUAGCGGUGAAAUGCGUAGAUAUCAGGAGGAACACCUGUGGCGAAAGCGGCUCACUGGACCAUAACUGACGCUGAUGCACGAAAGCUAGGGGAGCAAACAGG